rnacentral:tRNA from 1 species
AUCCCAUUCGCCAAGUGGAAAAGGCAAUAGAUUUCUAAUCUAUUAUUCAUAGGUUCGAAUCCUAUAUGGGAUG